rnacentral:rRNA from 1 species
GAUGAACGCUGGCGGCGUGCCUAAUACAUGCAAGUCGAGCGAAGCGGGGACGGGUGAGUAACACGUGGAUAACCUCCUAUACGACUGGGCUAACUUCGGGAACCCGGACGUAAACCGGAUAAUUAUCGAUGGAUCCGCGCUGCAUUAGCUGGUUGGUAAGGUAACGGCUUACCAAGGCAACGAUGCAUAGCCGACCUGAGAGGGUGAUCGGCCACACUGGAACUGAGACACGGUCCAGACUCCUACGGGAGGCAGCAGUAGGGAAGCUUCCGAAAUGGGCGAAAGCCUGACGGAGCAAAGCCGCGUGAGUGAGGAAGGUCUUCGGAUCGUAAAAUUCUGUUAUUAGGGAAGCGGUACCUAAUCAGAAAGCCACGGCUAACUACGUGCCAGCAGCCGCGGUAAUAC